rnacentral:lncRNA from 1 species
GACUCUUUUCAGCAUUGGUGCUUAAUUUGGGGUCACCACUGAUGAUAUUUAUUGUAUAUUAAAGUUUACCCCCAAAAUCCUAGGGGAAGGUUAAGACAACUAUAAUGUUUUUACGUUUUAGAAAAAUUCCUUAUUACCUAACAGAACAAAACAUUCAAAAGCUUUUAACAGCUUUAUUGAGAUAUAAAUUAUAUGCCAUAAAUUUUACCCCCUUAAAGUGUAUAAAUCAAUAUUUACUAUAUUGAUAAUUAGUCAAUCAUCGUAACCUAAUUUUAGAUCACUAUCAUCCCCCAAAAGAAACACACCUGUUAGCAAUCACUCUCCUCACCUCACCCCACCUACAACUUCCCAGUCCUAUACAACCAGUAACAGACUUUCUGUCACUAUAGAUUUGCCUAUUCUGGAUACUUUGUAUGAAUAGGAUCCUGCAAUAUGUGGCCAUUUGUAACUGGCUUUCUUUCACUUAUGUUCUCUAGAUUCAUCCAUGUUUUAGCAUAUACUAGUACUUUGUUCCUUUUUUUAAGCCGAAUAAUAAUUACCUUGUAUCAAUGUACCAACUUUUGUUUAUGCAUUCAUCAGUUGAUAGACAUUUGAGUUGUCUACUUUCUGAUUAUUUGAAUAAUGCUACUAUAAAUAUUUCUGUACAGGUUUUAUGUGAGCAUGUUUUCAAUUUAUCUUGAAUAUACUUUAGAGUGGAUUGUAUGAUAUGUUAAUUCUAUGUUUAACAUUUCAAAAACUGCCAAACUGCUUUACAAAGUGACAGUACCAUUUUAUAUACCUACUAAAAAUAUAUGGAGAUUCUAAUUUUUACAUGCCCUUCAUUACAGUAAUAUAGCAAUAGUGUUCAUUAUUAUCUUUUUAUUAUUACUGUUCUAGUGAGUUUAUCUUGUGGUUUUGAUUUUCAUUUCUAUGAAGACUAACAAUGUUGAACAUAUUUUCAUAUGUUUAUUGACCAUUUGUAUAUCUUCUGUAGAGAAAUUUCUAUUUUGAUCCCUUACCCAUUUUUAAAUUGGAUUAUUUUAUUGUUGUUGAGUUUUAAGUAUUUGUUAUAUAUUCUGGAUAGAAGUUGCUAAUGAGAUCUAUGAUUUGCAAAGAUUUUCUCCCAUUACUCAGGUUGCUUUUUCACUUUUUUGAUAGUGCCUUUUGAGGAAUGAAAUAUUUUAAUUUGAUAAUGUCCAACUAAUCAAUUUUUUCUUUUAUCAUUUGUGAUUUUGAUAUUGUAUCUAAGAAAUCAUUACCUAACCUCACAUCAUAUUUACUCCUGUGUUUUCCUCUAGGAGUUUUAUAGCUUUUGCUCAUAAUUUAUGCCUUGAUCCACUUUAAGUAACAGACUUUUUGUCACUAUAGAUUUGCCUAUUCUGGAUACUUUGUAUAAAUAGGAUCAUACAAUAUGUGGCGGUUUGUAACUGGCUUUGUGUGAAAUAAGGAUACAAAUCCAUUCUUUUUGUAUGUAGAAAUCUAAUUGUUCCAGCACCAUUUGAUGAAAGUAUUAUUCUUAGACCAUUGAACUGGUUUGGCCUCUUUGUCAAAAAUCAACAGUCCAUAAAUGUUAGGAUUUCUUUCUAGACUCAGUUAUAUUUGAUACACCUGUAUGUCUAUCCCCAUCCAAUGCCACUGUCUUGACUGCUAUAAUUUUAAUUUUGAAAUCUGGAAUUCUGAUUUGUUUUUCUUCUCCAAACUUGUUUUUCAGAUUGUUUUGGUUGUUCAGGAUCCCUUGCCUUUCCAAGAAUGUAACAUUUUAUAAUAAAGAUAGAGACACAAG